rnacentral:lncRNA from 1 species
UGAUCUGUAGACCUGUGCAGCUCUGAAGUAAGAUCGUCAAUGACCCAUAGUCUGAGUGCGGUGGCAUGCCUAAUGUGAGCUGUGGUUCAGGACAUGCUGGAUAGCAGUUCAUGGUCAUCACUUGUGAUCCUUCUUCAAUUUCAUUUUGUAAGUAAUUAGGGUUCAGUCCCAAGCUUUCUAAAACAACUCUCAUUAGUUGUUUUUGUAAAUUCUGCACAGCUGUUGCAUACUUAGCCAUUUUCUCCCUGUGUCACCAAAAAAAAGGGGAAUGUUUUUAGGGCAAAACAAAAAACAGCAUCAAGAACUUUGAACCCAUUUCAUUGUAUGAUACCCUUUACCAUUUUCAUCCCUUUUUUCUAAGGUUUCCUUUUAAGGAAGGUGAAGGCAAGGCAUGAAUGCAAACAAACUCUUUCUGAUGUUAACCAUUGCAAAUUUAAAAUUUUUAUGCUAUUAAUUUGGACCUGAAAACUUACAUUAAAUGUUUUAUGAACCAAUUAAUUCUGGAUUUAUAUACCUGUAACUUGGAGGAUUUGCAGGCCAUAGGUGAAUCCACUCUGAGAUGGGAUGAGAGUAAUGCUUGAUGAAGUCUCUCCAAAAAUGAACUUUAUCCCUCGAAUGAUUUAAACUGGUGCCAUACCUUACAGGGGCAUGGACAUUGCCUGACAUCAGAAGCAUCUUCUCUUCAAGAGGCAGGUCGAAGAAGCCCAUCACAGCAUCUAGAGCAUCUUUCAUCACAUGAAGAGGGAUUCCAUGGUUUAUCACCUGAAAACAUGAAAGUUUGGACGUUCAAAUUCGUAUAUAUAAAAAAAAUCAUGGCAGCUAUGUAGGUUCAUGCAUGCAUUUUUUCAUAGUACACGUAAAAGAAGGAUUUAACUGUUAAAUGACUCAUCUAUGAUUUUGUAUUCUUCAUGGUAAGGGUGGUGGCAUCAUGUCAACCAAGGUAUAGGGGUUCUGAAAUUCUAGAUGCAUAAACAAUUAGCUAGCUUCUCCUUUUAUCCCUUGAUAUGGUAUUUCUUGCACGGUGGUUUAAAGAUUGAAAAACAGAUUAAAUGUGGUAGGAACAAUGUCAUAUUUACAUAAAAUAACACACAGCUAGCUUUUACUUGAUACUAUGGACAUGCGGUAUUAAAAUGGGUUUGGCUACUGUGUGAACUUUACCUGAAAGAACCCAAUUUCCUUACAGGCACUUCGUAUCUCAUUUACAACACGAGGCCUAAGAGAAGGAUGGUGCAGCAUGGAAAGGUCAACAAUUGGAAGGGUGGUGGAGGGGUUCAGAGUAGCAUUUGGCCUUGCUGAUGAAGGAAGAAUGUAAGAAUCGGGCACGUUAGAUGCCCCUGACUUGGUAAGACUCAUUGCACUAGUAAACCAAGUUUGUGAACACACUCCCUUUCCUUCCAUUUUCACUCUUUGUUAUAUUCUUCACUUGAUGUUGUUGAUAUAUGGAAUGGAAUGCCCUAUUUAUAAGGUUAAAAUUUCAGUAAGUUUCCAUGAAUUCCUAUUAACAUAAUUCUUGUACAGUUACAUUGUAUAGGAAGCACAAAUAAUGGUGUGCAGUCCAAACGUGGAUAUUACACUCAUAAAUGUAUUUGGUGAGAGAGAAGGAAGAAAAGGAGGAAGUGGCCCCCACCAAUUUGCAGGCUGGUGAUGAAAUACGUCUAUCCCGUGGUGCAAAAUUCCUACCAAAACAAUAUAACAAUAUAA